rnacentral:lncRNA from 10 species
CCCAUUGGCCGCCGUUUCCGGAAGCCCGCCCUCCCAUUUCCGGAAGCCUGGCGCAAGGUUGGUCUGCAGGUGGCCUCCAGGUGCAAAGUGGGAAGUGUGAGUCCUCAGUCUUGGGCUAUUCGGCCACGUGCCUGCCGGACAUGGGACGCUGGAGGGUCAGCAGCGUGGAGUCCUGGCCUUUUGCGUCCACGGGUGGGAAAUUGGCCAUUGCCACGGCGGGAACUGGGACUCAGGCUGCCCCCCGGCCGUUUCUCAUCCGUCCACCGGACUCGUGGGCGCUCGCACUGGCGCUGAUGUAGUUUCCUGACCUCUGACCCGUAUUGUCUCCAGAUUAAAGGUACGACAUUUGGAGGCCCCAGCGAGAAACGUCACCGGGAGAAACGUCACCGGGCGAGAGCCGGGCCCGCUGUGUGCUCCCCCGGAAGGACAGCCAGCUUGUAGGGGGGAGUGCCACCUGAAAAAAAAAUUUCCAGGUCCCCAAAGGGUGACCGUCUUCCGGAGGACAGCGGAUCGACUACCAUGUGGGUGCCCACAAAAAUUCCACCUCUGAGUCCUCAACUGCUGACCCCGGGGUCAGGUCCAGAUUUUGAACAAAUCUCGCUAGAGAUUGAACAGAGCUGCGCCUGGAUCCCGCCACAGUGAGGAGACCUGAAGACCAGAGAAAACACAGCAAACGGAGUCUUGCUCUGUUGUCCAGGCUGGAGUGUAGUGUGGCGAUCUCGGCUCCCUGCAAGAAUCUGCCUCCCAGAUUCACGCCAUUUUCCCACCUCAGCCCCUGGAGUAGCUGGAAGUACAGGCUCCCGCCACCACGCCUGGCUAAUUUUGUUUUUGUAUUUUUAGUAGAGACGGGGUUUCACUGUGUUAGGUAGGAUGGUCUCGAUCUCCUGACCUCAUGAUCCAUCCGCCUUGGCCUCUCAAAGUGCUGGGAUUACAGGCAUGAGCCACCGCACCUGGCUGUUUUUUCAUUUCUAUUAUGAUUUGUUCUGUGGAAUGUCAGUGACUUAGCGGUGUUUUUCACAUGUUUAUAAAGCUGAAUAGUUCUGUAUGUCAGCUCAGCACCCCUAGUGUCAGUCAUGCUACUCUCCUGCUGUGCAUAGAUGGGGGCCUGUCCACACCCAAAUCUCCUGGGUUCCCGCUGUCCGCACCUGAAGGUACCCACCAGAUGUGUCUGUCACUGCCCUCCAUCCACCUUUCUUGUGGUUCUCAUGUUUCUGCCUCCCUAGAGACCAUUUCUCUCUACAGCAGUAGUUUCCAAUAGAAAUACAAUGCCAGACACAUACGUCAUUUUAGAUUUUCUAGUAGUCACUUUAGAAAAGUGAAAAAGAGGCCAGCUGCAGUGGCUCACACCUGUAAUCCCAGCACUUUGGAAGGCUGAGGUGGGUGGAUCACGAGGUCAGGAGAUCGAGACCAUCCUGGCCAACAUGGUGAAACCCCCUCUCUACUAAAAAUACAAAAAAUUAGCUGGGCGUGGUGGCAGGCGCCUGUAGUCCCAGCUACUCGAGAGGCUGAGGCAGGAGAAUGGCGUGAACCCGGUAGGCAGAGCUUGCAGUGAGCCGAGAUAGCGCCACUGCACUCCAGCCUGGGCGACAGAGGGAGACUCCAUCUCAAAAAAAAAAAAAAGGUUACAAAGAAACAGGUGAAAUUAGUUUUAUUUCACCUAAAAUGUUAGCAUUAUCCAAAAUAUCACUUCAACAUCUUAUCAAAAUAAAAAUUAUUAAUGAGAUAGCUUACAGUCUUUCUUUUCUUUGAGACAGGGUCUUGCUUUGUGGUCCAGGCUGGAAUGCAGUGGCACCAGCAUAGCUCAUUGCAGUUUCAGACUCCUGGGCUUGAGAUCCUCCUGCCUCAGUCUUCCUAGUAUUCGGACUACAGGCACACACCACCAUGCCACGCUAGUUUUUUUUUUUUUUUAAAGACAGGGUCUCACUCUGUCAGCCGGGCUGGAGUGCAGUGGCACAAUCUCGGCUCACUGCAGCCUCGAUCUCCGGGGCUGAAAUGAUCCUCCCACCUCAGCCUCCCAAGUAGCUGGGACCAAAAACAUGUGCCACCACGCCUGAAUAAUUUUUGUAUUUUUUUGUUAAGACAGGGUUUCGGCAUGUUGUCCAGGCUGGUCUUGAACUCCAGAGCUGAAGUGAUCCACCCACCUUGGCUUCCCAAAGUGUUGGGAUUACAGGCAUGAGCCACUGCACUCGGCCUAAUUUUUUUUUUUUCUGAAGAGAUGAGGUCUUGCUAUGUUGCCCAGUCCAGUCUCAAACUUCUGGCUCAAGCAGUCCUCCCGCCUUGGCCUUCCAAAGUGCUGGGAUUACAGAUGUGAGCCACCACACUGGCCCAUUCUUUCUUUUAUACUGAGUAUUCAGAAUUUUUUUAAAAUGUGUUUUCCACUUACAGCAUUUCUCAGGUUGGACUAGCCAUCUUUCAAGUGCUCAGCAGCCACAUGUGGCAAGUGGCUGCCUUAUUGGACAGCACAGCUCUGGAGGGUGAUUUUAUGUACAUCCCCACUGCUCUCUCUGCCUCCUUUAUUCCCAUCUACCCCACACCCCUGCAGUCUGUGACUAUCGUGUCCCUCUCUCCUCUCUUUCUGUCUCUUGUAAUUCUUUAAUAUGGAGAAUUAUUUCCAAUUCCUUAACAUCCUGCGCUGAUUUUUUUCUGUCUUACAUUCAAGGGUCACAGUUUUCCUCUCACCCUCAUUUCAGUCUUUUCCCAUAACACGUGACGUGCCUUUUUGUCUUGGUUGGGUAUUUAUUUGCAAUACAAGAAUGAUUGUUUUCUUUGAUACAUUAGUGACUUACAUAGUUUUCAUGUUUUUUGAGUACCUCUUUCUUGACAGAAUUUCAAAUUAAUUCUAGCGUUAAACUAGAAAUCUUUUUUUUUUUUUUUGAGACACAGUCUUCCUAUGGCAACCAGUCUGGAGUGCAGUGGUGCAAUCUCAGCUCACUACAACCUCUGCCUUCCAGAUUCAAGUGAUUCUCCUGCCUCAGCCUCCCGAGUACCCGGGAUUACAGAUGUGCACCACCAUGCCUGGCUAAUUUUUGUCUUUUUAGUAGAGACAGUUUUUUGCCAUUUUGGCUAGGCUGGUCUUGAACUCCUGACCUCAAGUGAUCUGCCUGCCUCAGCUUCCCAAAGUGCUGGGAUUACAGGGGUGAGCCACUGUGCCCAACCUAGAAAGCUUAUUUUAUUUUAUUAUUAUAAUUAAUUUUAUUUUUUUGAGAUGGAGUCUCGCUCUGUUGCCCAGGCUGGAGUGCAGUGGCGCAAUCUCUGCUCACUGCAAGCUCCACCUCCCAGGUUCACGCCAUUCUCCUCCCUCAGCCUCCUGAGUAGCUGUGACUACAGGCGCCCGCCACCACACCUGGCUAAUUUUUUGUAUUUUUCAUGGAGACAGGGUUUCACCAUGUUAGCCAGGAUGGUCUCAAUUUCCUGACCUCGUGAUCCACCCGCCGUGGCCUCCCAAAGUGCUGGGAUUACAGGCGUGAGCCACCGCGCCUGGCCUAUAAUUAAUUUUUUUGAGAUGGAGUCUUACUCUGUCUCCCAGGCUGGAGUACAGUGGCACAUCUUGGACCCCUGCAACCUCUGCCUCCUGGGUUCAAGCAGUUCUCUCUACCUCAGCCUCUCCAGUAGCUGGGAUUACAGGUGCCCACCACCAUGCCCAGCUAAUUUUUGUAUUUUUAGUAGAGAUGGGGUUUCACCAUGUUGGCCAGGCUGGUCUCGAACCCCUGACCUCAGGUGAUACGCCCGCCUCGGCCUCCCAAAGUGUGAGAUUACAGGCAUCAGCCACUGCACCCGGCCAGAAAGCUUAUUUUAAAAGGUGUGUAUAGAGCCCCUUAUGUUUCUGCUUGAUUUUUUAAAUAACAUAUUUAUGUCUAUAUAUUUUAGGAUGUAAUAUCUCACUGUAUGUGUUGCUUUGCAUCAUUGAACAUUUUUGGUAAUUAUUUUCUAUAUAUUUUAGAUAUUUCAUUAAACUAAUACAGAAUUUCAUAUUCAGGGCCAGGCAUAGUGGCUCAUGCCUGUAAUCCCAGCACUUUGAGAGUCCAAGGCGGGCGCAUCACCUGAGGUCAGGGGUUCGAGACCAUCCUGGCCAACAAGGGAAAACCCCAUCUCUAUUAAAAAUACAAAAUUAGCCGGGUGUGGUGUUGCACGCCUGUAAUCCCAGCUACUUGGAAGGCUGAGGCAGGAGAAUCGCAUGACCCCGGGGGCAGAGAUUGCAGUGAGCUGAGAUCUUGCCACUUCAUUCCAGCCUGGGCCACAGAGCAAGACUCCUUCUCAAAAAAAAAAAAAAAAAAAAAAAAUUCAUAUUCGCUCAUAUCAAAAAUGAAAAUUUAUUUUUGCAAAUUUCUAAGUGAUAGAAUUAUUUUAAUGUAGGAAAGGUUCAUCAAAAAUGGGUGUAGUGAUUGUGUUCUUUCCUAUGCUCGAAUGGAAAAUGAUGAGGGGACACGAUGUUAGAGUUGCAGUGGGAAGGGGUGGAAAAGAGGGAUUCCAGAGUGCCAGGCACACAGGUUUUCUGGAAGGUUUACAUGAGGACUGCUGUGGUUUGAAUGUGUUCCCCAAAGUUCAUGUGUUGGAAACUCAACCCCUAAUGCAACAGUGUUGACCAGUGGAACCUUUAAGAGGUGAUUAGGUCAUGAAGGCUCUGCCCUCAUGAAUGGAUGAAGCUAGAGUGGGUUAGUUAUCUUGGGAGGGGGUUCCUGAUAAAAGGAUGAGGUUGGCUUCCUUCCCUUUCUCUUUCCCCCUCCCCCCUCUCACAUGUGGUCACUCUCUUGCCCUUCCACCUUCCACCAUAGGACGGCACAGUGAGACCUUCACCAGAUGCAGGCCCCUCACUUUCCCAGUGUUCAGAACCGUAAACCAAGUGAACUCUUGCUUAUAAAUCACCCAGUCUGUGGUAUUCUGUUAUAGCAACACAAACGGACUAAGAGAGGGACACUCAGUGGGCUCUUCUACUUGAUGGAGCACUCCCUGCGUGGUGCCUUGUAUUUGUAGACAUGAUGCUGUAAAUGCUCUUUGAAUGUCUUGAAGGCUUUUAUGUUUGAGGAGUUUACAGAGAAGCACCUACAGGCUUCAGGUCCCUUCUUCUGUUGCUUCUUUGCUCCUUAGUUCCUCCCCUAACCUGGUGCUAAAUUAGAUCAUAGUGUGGUCCUUGGACCAACAGUAUCAAUAGCACCUGAAAAUCAUGCUGGAAAUACAGAUUCACAGGCUGCUCCCUAGAAUACUGAAGAAGAAACUCUAGGAGUGAGACCCAACAAUCUGUAUUUAACAAGUCCCCAGGCCCCUGGAUCCUCCUGGAAUCCCCGAUCCCUCUUGCUCCCUGGCAGAGUUUUCUAGUCCCUCUUACUUGAAGCAUGUCUUUCAGAGCCCGGCACCACCCAUCUUGAGUAUCUGCUACACCUCUAUGGUAUUUUUUUCACCUCAUAUCAUACCUUCCUCCCUCACUGGACUUCAGUGUGGGACCUGCAGGUCUCAGGCCUUCUGGGAAGUCCCAGCUUUUCUUGAAUGUUUUCUCUCUCUGGCCAGCUCAGGCUGGAGCAGUGGGUGUUGGUGCCAUCCUGUGGCUAUAGGUGAUAAGCCGGCUGUUCUUCACUGACCUGGUCUUACCUUGAACCCUGGAGUUCUCACAUGCAUGGAUUUAAAUGCUGUGUCUUUCUAAGGGCACAUUAUGGCCAUUUUCCUUAUCUCCCUCCCAAGGGGCUGUUUGCUGUGUUUAUUGACUCCCUGUUUAAAAAACAUAUAUAUAUAUAUAUAUAUAGACGAAUUAGGUUGUACCCCAUAAAUUGCAUGUUUGAAAAAUAUUUCAAAGAAUAGUUUAUUUUUUUUUGCUGAUUUUUAUGUAUCUUCUAAAUUGUAUAUAUUUAUGGGGUAUAAAAUGAUGUUGUGAUUUUUCAAUACAGUGUGGAAUGAGAAUCAAAUUAACCUAUCCGUUACCUCAAGUACUUGACUUUUUUUGUGAUGAGAAGGCUGUUUAUCACUUUCACUCACCAGCUCCUGCUGUCUUCCAUGCUGGGGACAGGAAAGGCUCCACGCUUGACUUUCCCUCCUGUUUUCUUAUCUGCUGUCAACCCCUGAAUGUACCCUCCAGGAUUGCCUUCUAGACCUUCUACAUCUAGCUCGAUCAUUGUGCACCCACCUUCCUCCCAGGGACUGUCCUUAGGGAGUGACUUUAUGCACAAACUUCACAUGCUCUUCCUGCCUCCUUCAUCCCCAUAAGCCCCCAUCUCAGCCCCAUCUGAUUAUUUCUUCCCUGUCUCAUUUCCUGUUAUGCUGUUGGUUUUCUAACCUGAAGGGUAACUUCUUACUCCUUAGUUUUUUGCCUUAAUUUCUAAGUCAUAGGCUACUUUCAGGCUAAAAGUUUUCCUCCAGCCAUGGUUUUAGUCUCAUUCUAUAAGUCUUGCUAGGUAGUUUAUUCAUUGGAAAUUUUUUGUUUUUGAGACAGAGUCUCGCUCUGUCACCCAGGCUGUAGUACAGUGGUGCCAUCUCAGCUCACUGCAACCUCCGGUUCCCGGGCUCAAGCAGUUCUCUUUCCUCAGCCUCCUGAGUAGCUGGGAUUAUGGGUGCCUGCCACCACACCCAGCUAAUUUUUGUAUUUUUAGUAGAGACGGCAUUUCACCAUGUCAGCCAGGUUGGUCUCGAACUCUUGACCUCAAGUGAUCCGCCCACCUUGGCCUCCCAAAAUACUGGGAUUACAGGGGUGAGUCACCACACCCCACCCCUUGGCACUAUAUUUAAGUGAUGAUAUUUUUGGACACUGAGGUAGCCUCAUUCCACAGGUUUAGAUCUGAAGCAUUUUCACUAUUGCUUCUUUCCAUGUAUUUCCUGGUUUGCAGGUCAGUUUCUUCUUUUAAUUCAUCAUUGACACAGUGGUUUAUAUGGCUUUUAAUUUCAAAAGAUUUUUUAAAAUAUCUUUUUGCCGAUUUUUAUCUAUGUUAAUUUUAACUAGACAUGUUCCCUGGAAGGACAUCACUAGUUUUUUUUUUUUUUUUUUCACUCUGUUUAUAAUUUAGGUGGAUUUUCACAUCUCAAGCCAGCUAAGAGUAUGGGAAAUAGGACUCGUUAAAGCACAGAUAUCACACAAGUGAUUCAGAUUCACGAGGGUAAUCCAGAUGAAGGUAUAUCAUUGUACCUGGCCCGCAUCACUCAGUAACUGUCACCUUUGAUUUAUUGAUUUACUUGAGAUGGAGUUUGGUUCUGUCCCCGAGGCCGGAGUGCAAUGGCGUGAUCUCUGCUCACUACAACCUCUGCCUCCCAGGUUCAGAGUGAUUCUCCUGCCUCAGCCUCUUUAGCUGGGAUUACAGGCACCCACCAACAUGCCCAGCUAAUUUUUGUAUUUUUAGUAGAGAGGAGCUUUCACCAUAAUGGCCAGGCUGGUCUUGAACCUCAAAUGAUCUGCCCACCUUGGCCUCCCAAAGUGCUAGGAUUACAGGCUGGAGCUACAGAGCCCAGCCUGUCACCUUGAUUUAAAUGAAUGCAGCUUUCUUGGUGUCUUGAUGUUUGUGAAUUUCUGUGGAGUUUGAUACUGCUCCUUUUGCUGCUUGUUUUUCCAGAGUCCCCUUAUCACUUGACGUGCUGUUAUAUUAUGUUUGAUUUAUUACAGAUACCCCAUCAGCCUGAGUCUCUUAAAGGCCUUUAUACACAUAUGUCUACACAUAGGGAUUUGGAUGAUCUCGGGAUCCCACAUCCUCGCUGUCCCCUGUCCCCCCGCAACAUCCCCCACCAAUACCUUUCUGAAGUUUUCUAGUCCCUCCUUUUUGUUUGUGCUCCUUAAAGCCCAGCCCCAUGCCUGACUUUGGUUCCCAGUGAGCAUUGUACAUUUGUGGAUAUUAAAUCUUUGGCAAAGUCAUUUACCUGGGCUGGAAUAGGGCUCUUGGCUGAUUCUUUUUCCUAAACACCCACCCAAUGGGAGAGGCUGAUACUCAACAUGCAAACCUUGUGUUUUAUUUCUCCAGGCGAAGGGAUGUUGGAAGACAUUCUGGAAGGGGUGGGGUGUGAAGAUUUACAAAUAAUCUUUGAAUAUCUGCUUCAUGAUAGGUCUUGGAGGUGCCUUGUGGGUGUGGCUUUGGGGGGAUGGUUACGAGGAAAUUGUGGAUAUUAAGGAAGUCAGGAAAGGAAAAGAUCAGUCACAAUUCAACAAUUCAGAGAAAGCUCCUAAGGGACUUUCUGGCUGCUUGAUGCCCAGAGGCCAGGCCCUCACUUCGUAUUAAGGCUCAGGACUGUGGAUAGAGAAUUUAAAGGGGCACCAAAAAAAACAUUAAAAUAGAUAAACAUAUUUUUAAUGGAAUACCUUUAAAAAUGCAAAUCAAUGCACAAAGAAAACGCCCA